rnacentral:lncRNA from 1 species
GAAAAUGAAUCCUUCCUUUAAAAUGCUUUUUGGGAAUCACUUAAACUUGAUUUUACACAUAGAAACAUCAGCACAUUUUUCAGGAAACUGGCUGGAGUUGUAGCAGGGACACAUCCAAGGUAUUCAGUAAGAAAACGUGUGAUUUAUCAUGAGGCAAUAAAAUACAUACAUCAGAAUCUUUAGAUUGUUUCUCCAUUAUAAUAUCUACUAGAUAUCUGUUACAG